UAAGAGACAGCAGUCGCCACGGGAAUACGUAGGUGGCAAGCGUUGUCCGGAAUUAUUGGGCGUAAAGCGCGCGCAGGCGGAUCAGUUAGUCUGUCUUAAAAGUUCGGGGCUUAACCCCGUGAUGGGAUGGAAACUGCUGAUCUAGAGUAUCGGAGAGGAAAGUGGAAUUCCUAGUGUAGCGGUGAAAUGCGUAGAUAUUAGGAAGAACACCAGUGGCGAAGGCGACUUUCUGGACGAAAACUGACGCUGAGGCGCGAAAGCCAGGGGAGCGAACGGGAUUAGAUACCCCUGUAGUCCCUGUCUCUUAUACA
rnacentral:rRNA from 1 species